GCGCCCCGAGCCGGGACCGGGACCGGGACCGCCCGAGCGUCCCGGCGGGAGCGCGCCCCGAGCCGGGACCGGGACCGCUCCAGCGUCCCGGCGGGAGCGCGGCGAUCGGCAGUUUUACCGGUGUCCAAAGCUCCUGCUCCACGCAGACCAGAAUGGCUGCAGUAAUACAAUUUCCUAACGGGGACGCUGUUGGCAGAAGAUUUGGAAAACAAAAAUAAGGCUCUUUGCAUCACCAGAGCAGCUGUCCUGGCAUGCUGUGUUCCCGUAGCAUCCUCGCGGGAAAUUUAAGGAGUUAUAUAUGUACAGAAUAAAACAAAAAGAGAAAUCAAAGAGACCAUUUUGAUCAUCUAAUCUGAUCUUUUAAGAUACAGUCUUUCCUGAAUUAUUUUUUAUAUGAGCUAGAGAAUGGUCUUUAGGAAAGUUAACUUCCAACCAUGGUUUCAAAAUUGCCUGUAAAAGAAAAUCCACCGCAGAACUUGUUGAGCUGCUCUUCAGUUCUCGGCCCUGCUCAGCCCUGUGCCCUGCUUGCAGCCCAAGUUUGUCAUUAAUAACUCAGUACACAGCAAAAUCCCCCUGCCAUGUUCAGCUGCAUGGAAUGAUAACAGGGAACGGGGACAAGUAACUUACUGUCUUCUACAGAAGUCAAAGGGCUUAGAAAGGAGCACUGUUUUCCUGCUUAUAUGUCAUGGGUCUGUCUCAUAUACACAAUUUCAGUGCCUUCAAUUAUACAAUUUUCCCAUCUUAAGUUUAAAUUUACCAUCAAGAUGGUACCUACCAAUUCAGAUAAGAUUUUGAGAUAACUUCUUUAAAUGAAGAACUCUUUACCUAUGUGAUUGAAAUUCACUUUACACUAUAAAAAUAUUCCUUCAACUGCUCAUUUUAAGUAUGACAUAGAAAUGAUAAACUCCAGAAAUUGGAGAGCAUGAAGACGACUAGAGAACAAAGAGCUGUCCUAGGAAUAGCAUAGGUGUAGGUUGAAAAAGACCUCUAUGAUUCCCUCAGCACUGCCAAGGCCACCCACCACUAACCCAUGUCCCCAGGUGCCACACCCAAAUGUUUUUCCCUCCAGGGAUCGGGAAUCUGCCCUGGACAGCCUGACCGGCCCUUUCCAUGAAGAAAUGUUUCCCAAUACCCAACCUGAACCUCC